GGCGAACGGGUGAGUAACACGUGGGUAACCUGCCCUGUACUCUGGGAUAAGCCUGGGAAACUAGGUCUAAUACCGGAUAUGACACUUCAUCGCAUGGUGUGGUGUGGAAAGUUCCGGCGGUACAGGAUGGACCCGCGGCCUAUCAGCUUGUUGGUGGGGUAAUGGCCUACCAAGGCGACGACGGGUAGCCGGCCUGAGAGGGCGACCGGCCACACUGGGACUGAGACACGGCCCAGACUCCUACGGGAGGCAGCAGUGGGGAAUAUUGCACAAUGGGCGAAAGCCUGAAUGCAGCGACAGCCGCGUUGAUGGGAUGACGGGCCUUCGGGUUGUAAACCUCCUUUCCAGUAGGGACGAAGCGCCAAGUGCCGGUACCUACAGAAGAUAGCACCGGCUAACUACGUGCCACCGACCGCGG
rnacentral:rRNA from 1 species